UACGGAGGGUGCAAGCGUUAUCCGGAUUCACUGGGUUUAAAGGGUGCGUAGGUGGGUUGGGAAGUCCGUGGUGAAAUCCCCGAGCUUAACUCGGGAACUGCCGUUGAUACUAUCUAUCUUGAAUAUCGUGGAGGUAAGCGGAAUAUGUCAUGUGGCGGUGAAAUGCUUAGAUAUGACAUAGAACACCCAUUGCGAAGGCAGCUUACUACACGAUCAUUGACACUGAGGCACGAAAGCGUGGGGAGCAAACAGG
rnacentral:rRNA from 1 species